GCGGGCAUAGUUUAGUGGUAAAACCGCAGCCUUCCAAGCUACUGAUCGGGGUUCGAUUCCCCGUGCCCGCU
rnacentral:tRNA from 2 species